rnacentral:rRNA from 1 species
AGUGAACGCUGGCGGUAGGCCUAACACAUGCAAGUCGAACGGCAGCACAGGAGAGCUUGCUCUCUGGGUGGCGAGUGACGGACGGGUGAGGAAUACAUCGGAAUCUACUCUGUCGUGGGGGAUAACGUAGGGAAACUUACGCUAAUACCGCAUACGACCUACGGGUGAAAGCAGGGGACCUUCGGGCCUUGCGCGAUUGAAUGAGCCGAUGUCGGAUUAGCUAGUUGGCGGGGUAAAGGCCCACCAAGGCGACGAUCCGUAGCUGGUCUGAGGAGAUGGUCAGCCACACUGGAACUGAGACACGGUCCAGACUCCUACGGGAGGCAGCAGUGGGGAAUAUUGGACAAUGGGCGCAAGCCUGAUCCAGCCAUACCGCGUGGGUGAAGAAGGCCUUCGGGUUGUAAAGCCCUUUUGUUGGGAAAGAAAUCCAGCUGGCUAAUACCCGGUUGGGAUGACGGUACCCAAAGAAUAAGCACCGGCUAACUUCGUGCCAGCCGCCGCCGUAA